CACACAUUUGACCAAGUACAGUCACCCCUCGGUAUCUGUGGAGGAUUGGUUCCAGGGCCUCCAUGAAUACCAAAAUCUGCUGAUGCUCAAGUCCCCAAUAUAAAAUGGCAUAGUAUUUGCAUAUAACCUACACACAACCCCCCUUAUACUCCAAAUCAACUCUAGAGAACUUACAGUACCUGAUACACUGUGAAUGCUAUGUAAAUAGUUGUUAUACUGUAUCAUUUUAUUUGUAUUAUUUUUAUCGUUUUUCCCCCCAAAUAUUUCUGAUCCUCUGUUGGUUGAACCUUUGGAUGGGGAAGCAGAGCUAGCUGUAUGUAGAGCUCCCCAGAGAAUAGGAAGGCACUUGGGGUAGGAAGGAAGGAAGCUGACAUUACAGCCAAAUGCAGUGAGACACCUUGAGGGGCCUGUGGGAGGCAUGUGCAGGGAAGCUGGGGGCACUGGGGUGGGCUGCUCAGUUCCAUCAGAGAGGCAAGAGGGCACCAGAAAACGCUGCUGCCAAGUCACCUUAGAAUUAAGCUGUGGGAGGUGAGAAGGGAUUUGCCCAGUAGAUGGGGAAAGGGCUGGGCUUUCUUGGCAAGGAAAGAAGGUGUGCAGUGACCCCAGGGUGUGUUCCAGCUGUCACAUCCAAGGCUGCCUGGGAACAGAGGAAGUGGGCUAGGGGGCAGUAUCUGGAACGUGGCCAUAUCACGAGGAGUAGAGGAAAUGUUUAGUCAGACUGGUGUUUGGGAAGGUUGACCACUGGCAGUCCGGAGGGGGCACCUCGGGUGGCAGCAAGAUAUGGGCUGGGUUAAGGAGUGACAUCAGUCUGCUGUUGGGGUCCUGAAAUAGACACGGAUGAUGUUUCUGCCUUCUGAGGACUGUUUUUCACCAAGUUCCCCCCCCACCUCAGUGCAACGCAAUGACAAUUUAAAAAUACUCCAAUGCUCCGGGAAUCUGAGGAUGAGUCACUCCUUAGGAUUUCUGCGGAAGUAUUUGACUCAAGCCAUUUGUGAGUCAAGUUGGUGUUCUUUCUUUAGAGAUUUCUUCUCCUUGGAGAGGCUGAUGACUACCCAGAGUUCUUCCUGCCGUUUUGGGGGUCUCAUCUGGUCAGUGACCCCAAUCUCUCUAGCUUGACAUUAUUGCUGAGUGGAGAGUGUCUGUCUUUUCCCCUGUCUCAGGUCCCAGGCAGGACCUGGGUAACUGAGGGGCCGGGGCUGGAGCAUGCCAGGCCCAAGGAGCAUGUUGGCACCUCGAGAGUUCCUGUGUUUCCUCAGAAUCCAAGCUCCAGGGUCCUGCUGUCCCAGGCCUCAGUCCCGAGUCUGUCUUCUGGGGCUCUGGAAUCACAAGGAAGGAACAGCAGACUUCUCUGUGCCUGAGGAUCCCAUGUCAGGAUGGCCCAGGGUCAGGCCAGGACAUGAACACUCCUGCUGCAGUCAGAAGUUGGGGUCUUGCUAUGUUUCACAGUCUGGUCUUGAACUCCAGGACCCAAGCGAUCCUCUCAUCUCGGUCUUUCAAGGUGCUAAGAUUACAGGCAUGAGCCACUGUGUCCCGUUGACAAAAGCCAAUCUUAAAAGGCUACAUACCUCCCUCAUGUCAUUUGAUGUAAAAAAAAAAGAAGAAGAAGAAGAAAAAAAGGCUACAUACCAUAUGACACCAACUAUAUAACAUUCUGGAAAAGGCACAACUAUGGGAACAUUGAAAAGAUCAGUGGUUGCCAGGGGUUUAGGGAAGGGAAGAAUGAACAAGCAGAGUGCAGAGGAUUUUUAGGGCAGUGCAACUACUCUGUAUGAUACUAUAAUGGUGAGGAUAUGUCAUUAUACAUUUGUCCAAACCCAUAGAAUGUACAACACUAAGAGUGAACCCUAAUGUACACUGUGGCUCUGGAUGAUAAUGAUGUGCCAAUGUAGGUUCAUCAGUUGUAACAAAUGUACCACUCUGGGGGAGAUGUUAAUGGUG